CCCUACGCCCCUACGAUCCAUAGCUGAUAGCCUGUCUUCUCCAAGACUCCAUCAGCCGUCCUCGGCAGCUCGGCUCGGCCGAAGACUCUUCUUCGGCGAAGAGUUUAAAACUUUAAAUUCUAAAUUCUUCUUCAUUCUUUUUUCCCUAAUCGGCUAAUCCCUAGUUCCUCCUUACUCUUCUUCGGUUCUUCCUGCUAAUCCCUAGUUCCUCCUUACUCUUCUUCGGUUCUUCCUUCCCUAAUAUGCUAAUUCCUAGUUCCUCCUUACUCCCUAGUUCUUCCGAGUUCCGUCCACGGUCCAUCGCCCGUUCGCCGUCCUCGGCAGUCGCUCGCC
rnacentral:lncRNA from 1 species